AUUGAACGCUGGCGGCAUGCCUUACACAUGCAAGUCGAACGGCAGCACGGGGGCAACCCUGGUGGCGAGUGGCGAACGGGUGAGUAAUACAUCGGAACGUGUCCAGUUGUGGGGGAUAACCAGUCGAAAGAUUGGCUAAUACCGCAUGCGCCCGAAAGGGGAAAGCGGGGGACCUGUGAGGGCCUCGCGCGGUUGGAGCGGCCGAUGUCCGAUUAGCUAGUUGGUGAGGUAACGGCNCACCAAGGCGACGAUCGGUAGCUGGUCUGAGAGGACGACCAGCCACACUGGGACUGAGACACGGGCCCAGACUCCUACGGGAGGCAGCAGUGGGGAAUUUUGGACAAUGGGGCAACCCUGAUCCAGCCAUGCCGCGUGUGUGAUGAAGGCCUCGG
rnacentral:rRNA from 1 species